rnacentral:rRNA from 1 species
AUGUUGCAGGCUGAAUUGAGGAAUAGAGAUGCCCGAAACUCUGACUUGCAAGAGAAUGUGAAGUCACAACAAGCAGAAGCUGCAAAGGCCAAAGAGGAGCUGACCCAAGCCCUGGCCGUAAUGGAAAAGCUGAAAGAAUCUUUCAACAAAGAUCGUGCUGACUGGGAAACCAAAAAAUCCGGUUUAACCAAAAGAGCUGAAGAUGCUGAGGCAGCCCUGAAACCAAUUGUAGAUGAACUAGCUGGCUUGAGGCAGCAGAUCAACGCUAUGACUUCUGCUAUCUUUGGUAAAUACCUCCUUAUGUGUUUUGCGCAAUUCAAUGAACCUUAUCAUUGGCCAGAAUUUUGA